AUUGAUGGUUCAGUGGUAGAAUUCUAGUUUUCCAUGUGGGAGACCCGGGUUCAAUUCCCGGCCAAU
rnacentral:tRNA from 1 species